GUAUUUGGGUUGAGAUAGUGUUGGAGUAUGUUUCUCCAGGGUUCAUAAGUAAAAGAUUAAAGUUUCAUGCCUAAUCUUCACGGUGAGAUAAAAAGGUGGAGACUCAGGUCUGCGAGAAGGCCCUGCUAGGGAAGGUUCUUAGUGUUAAACCUGAUACCCAGAGUUCCAUCCACAAGCCCACAUUACAGAAGGAAAGAACAGACUCCCUCGAGCUGUCCUGUGACUUCCGCAUGCCCCUUAUUUUUUCCUUAGUUGAAAAGUCAAAGCCAGUGCCUUGGUGGUGCACACUUUUAAUCCCAGCACUUGGGAGGCAGAGGCAAGUUGAUCUCUGUGAGUUCAAGGCCAGCCUGGUCUGCACAAGGCCAGCCUGAUCUACAAAGCAAGUUCCAGGACAGUCAGGGCUUUUAUACAGAGAAACCCUGUCUUGAAACCAUUCCCCUCCCCGCACAAAAAAAAGAAAAGAAAAAAGAAAAAAGAAAAAAAAAAUGAGGCUUGGGCCUCUGGCUCCAGAUCAUGCCUGAAGAAGCAUAAGCCAAUGUGUGCCUUUCGGGAUGACCCAUUAGGAUGACAGAGGGCUCUCCAUCACUUGGGCCCCUCCUCUUCUGUAAGUGGUAGAUAGAAGUCUUGGCCUUAUAUCGGUCGGACAGGAUGGAUGUAGAACCUCUGGCCUUUACAACUGAUCCCAACAAUGAGGUAGAGACAAAUAAAUUAUUGGUGCUGUUGCUUGGUUUUGAGACAGGGUCUUUCCACCUCAGCCUGGUUGUCCUGGAACUCACCGUGUAGUUCUGGUUGGCCUCAACUCAGGGAUCCACCUGCCUUUGCUUCCCGAAUACUAAAAUUAAAAGUGUUCGCCACCAUGACCAGCUCCAAAUAAAAGCUCUGCAAUUGCUGUUGUUCGUGUAUCUGGAGUGUAUGUGUGCGCAUAUGUGGGGAAGUCUCAGAACAACUUUUUGGAGCUCUCUCCUUCCAUCUUUGUGUGGGUUUCAUGCAUCAACUUCAGGUUGUUAGGUUUGAAUGCCUUUACUCACCAGGGCAUCUUGCUGCUGCUACCACCCCAUUCUGAAGUAGCCCAGGCUGCCUUGAACUCCCCAUCCUCCUGCCUCUGCCUCCCAAGCACUAGGGUUACAGGCCCCUGCCACCAUGCCUGGCUUAAAAUAUUUUUAUUUUUAUUCACUUAUUUGUUUGUUUGCUCAUUCAAGACAGGCUUUCUCUGUGUAGCCCUGGCUGUCCUAGAACUUGCUCUGUAGACCAGGCUGGCCUGGAACUCAGAGAUCUACCAGCUUCUGCCUUUCCAAGUGCUGGGAUUGAAGGCAUGCACCACCACUACCCAGUUUAAAAAUCUCGUUCAUAAACCGGGCAGUGGUGGCGCACGCCUUUAAUCCCAGCACUUGGGAGGCAGAGGCAGGCGGAUCUCUGUGAGUUCGAGACCAGCCUGGUCUACAAGAGCUAGUUCCAGGACAGGAACCAAAACCACAGAGAAACCCUGUCUCGAAAAACCAAAAAAAAAAAAAAAAAAAAAAACUCGUUCAUAAAUUGUUUUUUUUUUUUUUUCUUACAAAGCUAGGCACCCUGCUCUACUAGAUGACGCAACAAACCCCGGGAGGGAAAGAAUCACUUGCCAACCAAUAUCAGCCAGACCUCAGCACCCAGAGUGGGGACAGAGCCAUGGGUGCCUUUGUCACUGCAACCCCAGGACCCAGCACGGGACUGGGUCUGACAUCUGUAGACACCUGGGAAGAUGUUCACUGAUUGAGAAGAAGGAGGUUCCCACCGCUUGGUGAGCAAGAGGGAGGGGUAGCCCAUACUCGGUGACUGUGAGGGGAGCCAGGUGCUCCCAGGCAUGAUGGGGUCACCAGGAGGUGCUGGCAAGGCUUUACGAAGGAGGAGACUCAUCCAGACCUCAAAGGUCUGUCCAGCCACAGAAGAGAAGACAGGGUACAAAACACGGGCAGAGACCAACACAGCCCCUGGGUCACUGGCAAGACCAGCUGCUUACUGACAUUCUGUGCUUGCAUAUACGUACCCAAGGUUUGCAGGAACUACCUUUUAGUAAUUUUUCAUUCCUUUUCUUUAAAUAGCCUUUUAUUAAAUAAUAAUAAUAAUAAUAACACACACUAAAUGAAACUUAGGGACUGAAGUGAUAUCUCAUUAGUUAAGAACACUGGCUGUGCCAGGCGGUGGUGGCAGAUGCCUUUAAUCCCAGUGCUGUGGGACAAUGUUUUUACCCUGGAAAGAUGUGUUUCUUGUACUAGUUUAAUAAAAUGCUGAUUGGCUAGUAACCAGGCAGGAAGUAGAGGUGGUGCAACAAGAACAGGAGAAUUCUGGGAAGAGGAAAGUCAGUCUGAAGUCAUGAUCCAGAGACUGAGGAAGCAAGAUGUGACUGUCUUGCCGAAAAAGGUACCAAGCCAUGUGGUUAACACAGACAAGUAUUAUGGGUUAAUAUAAGUUGUAAGAGUUAAUAAGAAGCCUGAGCUACUAGGCCAAUCAGUUUAUAAUAGUGAGUUUCUCUGUAGCUUUGGAGCCUGUC